UCCAGCGCCAUGCAGAUAUAAACAGCCCUUGCUGCCCGCCCGAUUAAAAGCGCCAUGCAGAUACAAACAGGCCUUGCUGCCCGCCCGAUUAAAAGACAGCUCGACCUGAUGUUUUCACAAAAUCAUUCAACGGAUGAAGCAUGAGUGUACAGGAAUAUUCAAAAGGGAAUUACAUGUAGGAGUAUUUACAGCUCGACCUGAUGUUUCUCAUACACAUACAGUAUAGCCUCAAUAUAUCAUUCAACG